AAAACGGCCCUUUUCAGGGCCACCAAAUGCAUUAUUAUUAUAUAUU
rnacentral:ncRNA from 1 species